UGGCAGUGCUCAGUUAUUAGUUUAGGCUGAAGUCUGACGUAAUGCAGAAUUCAGUAACUAGUUCACACACCUUUGGGACAGCCAAUGUAGCAAAUUUAAGAAAUGUACAAACUAAAGAGUGACUCAUCAUUAUCAGACUUGUGUACGGGGACAUGUUGGCUCACGUAUCAAGAUAUCCUCUUAGGAUGCCAAUGAGGAUGCUGCCCGGAAGUCGUGGAGGACAGCCUACACACCAAGAUCGCUUUAUUUUACAAGGAGCGGCUGUCCUUGUUGGCUUGGGCCUCUGCAUCUCCUCAUUCUCUCUAAAAAAACUAUCAGCCAUGCCACACAAACCAAGACGUCUUAUUUAAGGAUUGGAAUAUGAUAUGUUGACUAUUUGUAAAGGCCAGCAUUGGCACAUUUUACAAAAAAGUGAAGCAUUAAU